GUGCUCGCUUCGGCAGCACAUUACUAAAAAUGGAAUGAUGCAGAGAAGAUUAGCAUGGCCCCUGCACAAGGAUGACACAAAAAUUCGUUCAUUCCAUAUUUUU
ensembl:snRNA U6 U6 spliceosomal RNA